rnacentral:lncRNA from 1 species
ACAGAGUUAACCAUCAAACCCUUUCACACUUAAUGUCAUCAAAAUAAGGCCGUACUAUAUAUAUAUUAAAUUUUGUCGUUGAUUGUUCUCGCUCGAGUAAUUUGGCUUAAGCAAUGGCCGAGUCGAGUUUUUGAACUAUGCCUUGUAUCUUCAAGGUGAUCACAAAUGGGCUAAUGAGAUAUUUCUUCAUCGUCUUUGAGCUGCAUUAGCAAUCAAUAAUGAUAAACACAUGGACGAAUUGAAUC